AAUAGCACGUUUGUAGUAGGUGGAUUUAAAAAUCCAUAAUAGGGAAGCAGGUGAAACACCUGCGCUGCCCACGCAACGGUAAGCGAGCCCGCUAAAUACGGGUCAGAAGAAGCCACUGUACGAAAUCGUAUGGGAAGGUUCUGUUGAAGAUUAUUCUUCAAUCGCAAGUCCGGAGACCGACCUACUAUCUUGUGUACUCA
rnacentral:ncRNA from 20 species